rnacentral:rRNA from 1 species
CUACACACACGCUACAAUGGUCGGUACAAUAGGUUGCCAAGCCGCGAGGCGGAGGCCAAAUCCAAAAAAAGACCGGCCUCCAGUUCAGAUUGUAGGCUGCAACUCGCCUGCAUGAAGAUGGAGUUGCUAGUAACCGCAGGUCAGCAAUACUGCGGUGAAUACGUUCCCGGGUCUU